GAUGAACGCUGGCGGCGUGCUUAACACAUGCAAGUCGAACGGAAAGGCCCAAGCUUGCUUGGGUACUCGAGUGGCGAACGGGUGAGUAACACGUGGGUGAUCUGCCCUGCACUUCGGGAUAAGCCUGGGAAACUGGGUCUAAUACCGGAUAGGACCACUUCUUGGAUGUUGUGGUGGAAAGUUUUUUCGGUGUGGGAUGAGCUCGCGGCCUAUCAGCUUGUUGGUGGGGUAAUGGCCUACCAAGGCGUCGACGGGUAGCCGGCCUGAGAGGGUGUACGGCCACAUUGGGACUGAGAUACGGCCCAGACUCCUACGGGAGGCAGCAGUGGGGAAUAUUGCACAAUGGGCGCAAGCCUGAUGUAGCGACGCCGCGUGGGGGAUGACGGCCUUCGGGUUGUAAACUCCUUUCGCUAGGGACGAAGCGUUUUGUGACGGUACCUGGAGAAGAAGCACCGGCUAACUACGUG
rnacentral:rRNA from 1 species